rnacentral:lncRNA from 1 species
GGUCCUUGGAUGGAGGUGGUUGUCGAUGGGAUUUUCAAGAUUGUUGUGUCGCAGCAAAGUUGCGGUAGUUAGCUCUCUGUUCUUUUUGUGGUUUCACACUGGGCAUUUGUUGCCAGAACCAAAGAUCCAAGCAGUGACGAUGGCAGGCGAAGGUGGUCCAGCAAUGACGAAUGUAGGACAUAAAUGCAGGGUAGGCUCAACUUCAAGAAUACUCGCAUACACCAUAAUGCAUGAACAAUAAGAGUGGCCCGAGGUGCAUAAUUUUUUUGUCAUGACGACAUUGAUGUGGAUUCAUGCACUUUAUGCUCAUCCAAUCCAAGAGUGCAUGAAUAAGAUAAAUUCAACAUGGAAUAGACAAAGAGAUACCUUGCUAAUUGAUAACUUCCUCUAAUAUUUAGAUGCUCCGAUUCCGAAACGGCAUGCCAUCUAUCAAAAAAUAGCUUGUAUCCAUUACAUUACAUGUCAGUCAGUAAAAACUAAAAAGACGCUCUAAUAUUAUAUACAGUAGAUGGCAUUGGGUAAGCUAGUAGAUUGUUUUGUUCUAACCUUGUCGUUGAUUAUGAUCCAACAAACUUUCCUUGUGUUGUAAGUUGACACAUCUUUCUUUGAAUAGCUUGUCGAUGUCUGAAUUCAAAAUAGCAGUAAGAAAAUGCUGAGAAUGCCAUGCACUUUGGAUUAACCUAGAACAAUCUUGACCUCAGAUUAACAACCAUAAGCAACACUCCAAAGCACAAUACGUUCAAAGACAAAAUUGCAUGUGAAAGCAAGUGCAGUUUGGAUACAAAGGUAACGAGCACUCCCAAGUCACCAUUGCAGUUUCAGGACAAGGAUAUAUACUAAGGAUGAAAUUCACCGUUCCAUUUUCCUCCGGAACGUGCAUCGAUUCCUUCACCUGCAUUGCAACAUUUACUCAGGCCAAUAAAGUUGAAUCGUCAAGAUUACAAGUACUUUACCCUCGUUGUUGGAUCUUGGGGUAUAUAACAAUCUGUGGUUCUGGACAUGGCCUCUUCCUUCCGGCAGCGGUGGCCCAGUCUCCCUCUCCCGGUGCCGUCCAACCUGCCGGCUAGGGUCCGCUGGCAAGCCGUGCGUCAUGGGGCGGCGGCGGCGGCCUGCGAAUGCGUCCCGUGCGCGUGGGGUGCCGCGGUCAGUUCUCUGGGCUGGUGCGAUUUGGAUGUGCGAC